AUGGAUUUGCUGAAAAGCCAUUAUUUCAAAAACACAAUUCUGAUCCUCACAGCACAUCUCAGACAAGCCUCUACAAUCCACUUGCCAGCAGCUGCGCACAUGGAUAAAACCGUGCUUUGUGGGAGUUUUCUACAAGUAGCAAAGUCUACAUGUUCUCUUCAGUUGCUUCGGAGCAGGGAUUUGCUGGUGAAGAUGGUUGCAGGAAGGAUGGCUAUUGAAACACUUCAUUUAUGUCUGAAUCUCAAGCUUUGGAAUAAAGCAACGUUCUCAACCCUGGCUGCAUGUUAGAUGCCCUGGCAAGAGGCUUUGAGUGUGGAAAGAAUAUAAUGGCAGAAAUGCAAAGAUUUGAGCACAAUUUUUUUCCAGCAAAACUGCAGCCCAUUGGGGAAAACAACAUUAAUCCCAGGAGCAGAGGUCUUACAGCUGUGAUUCCAGAGGACAAGUCCCAGCUGAUCAGCAUGCACCGGGUCACCUGGCACUUUCUGGGAAAUGCAAUUCUUCAGCCACCACAGUAUCAUCCAGGGCCAGUGACCUGUUUUCCAAGUCACUAG
rnacentral:lncRNA from 1 species